GGGGGUGUUGUUCACUCCUGAGCUUCAACUCAGGUCAUUUGUUCCAUUAUCCUGGUUCAUGUGUCAAGGUCGGCCCAGCCCUGAUGCAUAGCAGAAAAUACAGCUCUCUUUCAGCAGCCUGAGGGAGCUCCUCACUUGAGCAUUAAGCAGGGCCACAGAACCCACUGGAGGCAGAAGAGACACCACAGCUGAGUGGUCUCACCUGAGCUGCUCUCUCUCUCUCGCUUUUUAUCUUCACCCCCACCUGAGGUUUUCAACCAGAAACUCUUAGAAUGUUCCAGAUGUUGGCUGGACUGAGGACAGCUCCCCCAGGAGUUCCACAAGUGCCUGGAGGCAGGGGGAGUGAGGAAGGAUGGACCCACACUCACCCCUCUCGGGUUCCCAGAAGAAAUCCCUCUCGGGUUUCCCUCCUCACCCAGUAAAGAGAUCUGUAAGACAGGAUCCCCGUUCUGGAAAGCCCUCUUUGCUCUUGGUUCUCUCCCAGGCUCCUCCCCCAGCCAUCCACUCGUCCUCCCCUCUCUGAAGUGUGCCUCAGGAAGCUCUCACUUGGUCAAACCCAAGUUCCCAUAUAAAGGAGAGAAGACAGGAGCUCAUUCUGUUGCUCAGAGACACACAGCAACGGUACGACCCACGCGUGGUGCUGGAUGAUUCUUCUGAUACACGCCCCACUGUGGGCGUGGAUACUUCCCCACUCUCCACACCGGGCUCGGCCCUGUGACUUGCUCUGGGCCAUGGAGUGUUAGCCCACACAGUGCAAGCAAAGAUUCUGUGACUGCCUUGCUCUCUUGCACUCCCGCCAUUGGCAUGAGAAGGACAAGCCAGGGCUGGCCCAGAAGGAGGCUGAAGGACACCAGAGCCAGAACCAUUUCCAGCGGGAGCUCAGGCCCUCACACUCCCCUUCCUCUGUGGCCUCGCCUUCCCAUGUCACAUGACGGACUCGUAAACGGCGGAGGGGCUUACACACAAAAAGGAGCAACCCUCUGGCUGCCUUCACUCAUGUCCCGCUCUUCUUUAGAGGCGGGAGGCCUGCCAUCUGUCCCUCAAUCCCUCAAGACCUAAUUGGUGAUUGACGUCUCCUGUCGAUAGCCAUCAGCCCUUCGGCCAGCACCAUUUUACUGCUGGACUGCAUCACACGAAUUACCCACACGGGGUAACAGGAAGUCGCUUCAGAAGGAGAUCCUGACCCCACGGAGGGGCUAUGGAAGACAAGGUCUCGAGACCCUAGAGGAGCCACAGCCCGUCACCACGCUGGUUCCAUCCUCUUCGGGUUUACCCUUCGCCUGGGAAAAUCGCCCGUUAGGCGCUUAAUGAUGAAGCCCACGAGGCAGAAGUGCUGUAACACAGGACUCAGCACCCCCACCUGUUUUGCCACCCUGGACGUCCUCC
rnacentral:lncRNA from 1 species